rnacentral:rRNA from 1 species
AUGCUUAACACAUGCAAGUCGAACGGAAACGAUGGAAGCUUGCUUCCAGGCGUCGAGUGGCGGACGGGUGAGUAAUGCUUGGGAAUCUGCCUAAUAGUGGGGGAAAACUCGGGGAAACUCGGGCUAAUACCGCAUAAUCUCUUCGGAGGGAAGGGGGCCUCUACAUGUAAGCUCUCGCUAAUAGAUGAGCCCAAGUCAGAUUAGCUUGUUGGUGAGGUAAAAGCUCACCAAGGCUACGAUCUGUAGCUGGUCUGAGAGGACGAUCAGCCACACUGGGACUGAGACACGGCCCAGACUCCUACGGGAGGCAGCAGUGGGGAAUAUUGCACAAUGGGCGCAAGCCUGAUGCAGCAAUGCCGCGUGUGUGAAGAAGGCCUUAGGGUUGUAAAGCACUUUCAAUAGAGAAGAAAAGCUUAGAGUUAAUAACUCUAAGCAUUGACGUAACCUAUAGAAGAAGCACCGGCUAAAUCCGUGCCAGCAGCCGCGGUAAUACGGAUGGUGCGAGCGUUAAUCGGAAUUACUGGGCGUAAAGCGCGCGUAGGCUGUUUUAUAAGUCGGAUGUGAAAUCCCCGGGCUCAACCUGGGAACUGCAUCCGAAACUAUUUAACUAGAGUAUGGGAGAGGUAAGUAGAAUUUCCGGUGUAGCGGUGAAAUGCGUAGAUAUCGGAAGGAACACCAGUGG